rnacentral:rRNA from 1 species
GCGAGCGUUGUCCGGAAUUAUUGGGCGUAAAGAGCUUGUAGGCGGUUUGUCGCGUCUGCUGUGAAAGCGCCGGGGCUUAACUCCGUGUAUUGCAGUGGGUACGGGCAGACUAGAGUGCAGUAGGGGAGACUGGAAUUCCUGGUGUAGCGGUGGAAUGCGCAGAUAUCAGGAGGAACACCGAUGGCGAAGGCAGGUCUCUGGGCUGUAACUGACGCUGAGAAGCAAAAGCAUGGGGAGCGCACAGGUUUAGAUACCCUGGUAGUCCAUGCCGUAAACGUUGGGCACUAGGUGUGGGGGACAUUCCACGUUUUCCGCGCCGUAGCUAACGCAUUAAGUGUCCCGCCUGGGGAGUACGGCCGCAAGUACAAACUCAAAGAAAUUGACGGGGGCCCGCACAAGCGGCGGAGCAUGCGAAUUAAUUCGAUGCAACGCGAAGAACCUUACCAAGGCUUGACAUAUACUGGACGCAUCAGAGAUGGUGUUCCCUUCGGGGCUGGUAUAAAGGUGGUGCAUGGUUGUCGUCAACUCGUGUCGUGAAAUGUUGGGUUAAGUCCCGCAACGAGCGAACCCUCGUUCUAUGUUGCCAGAACGUWAUGUGGGACUCACAGGAGACUGCCGGGGUCAACUCGGAGGAAGGUGGGG